rnacentral:rRNA from 1 species
UACAGAGGUCCCAAGCGUUGUUCGGAUUCACUGGGCGUAAAGGGUGCGUAGGCGGUCGGGUAAGUCUGACGUGAAAUCUUCAAGCUCAACUUGGAAACUGCGUCCGAUACGUAUUCGGCUAGAGGAAUGGAGGGGAGACUGGAAUACUUGGUGUAGCAGUGAAAUGCGUAGAUAUCAAGUGGAACACCAGUGGCGAAGGCGGCUAACUGGUCCGAUACUGACGCUGAGGUGCGAAAGCGUGGGAGCAAACAGG